GAUGAACGCUAGCGGCAGGCUUAACACAUGCAAGUCGAGGGGUAUGCCGAUUUAUCGGCAGAGACCGGCGCACGGGUGCGUAACGCGUAUGCAAUCUACCUUUCACAGAGGGAUAGCCCAGAGAAAUUUGGAUUAAUACCUCAUAGUAUAGCAGUUUCGCAUGAAACCACUAUUAAAGUUCCAACGGUGAAAGAUGAGCAUGCGUCCCAUUAGCUAGAUGGUAAGGUAACGGCUUACCAUGGCUACGAUGGUAGGGGUCCUGAGAGGGAGAUCCCCCACACUGGUACUGAGACACGGACCAGACUCCUACGGAGGCAGCAGUGAGGAAUAUUGGACAAUGGCGCAAGCCUGAUCCAGCCAUGCCGCGU
rnacentral:rRNA from 1 species